GUGAGAACAAGCAUCCGUCUUGGUGUGAACAAGAGAAAGAAGGAUGAGAGAUCAGGGGAGCAGAAUCGUUGCCUUGUUGUUGGUCAUCUGCACAGGUUCUCCUGGAAGAGCACAAACGAUCAAUCAGCCUGGGUCAGCAACAGCCUUGGAGAGAAAACCUUAUCACCUUAGCUGCAAUCUCUCUUCUGUAACUACAGAAAUGAUCCAAUGGUAUCAGCAGUUCUCUGGGCAGAUACCACAGUACCUUGGUGGGGCCUACCCAAACAAUGAAGAUGAAGUUGCCAAUCCAAAGGGAAAGUUGUAUUUUUCUCAAGACAAGACAUCCAGCAUGCUUGUGAUCGAUGAAGUCACUCUGGCAGAUGCUGCUGUCUAUUUCUGUGCUCUGAGAGACACACAGUGUCUCAAGGACGGAUCUGUUGCCAUUCAUGAACCUCUCUCAGAGACUGAACACAGGAGGAGCUAUUGCAAAGGGAGAUGGAGCAGAGAAAGUGGAGAAGAACACAACAGAACAGAAUAACAGAGUUGGAAGGGAUCUUGGACCUUUUCUAGUCCAACCCCUUGCUCAGACAGGAAACUCUAUACCAGAGG